rnacentral:rRNA from 1 species
AUUGAACGCUGGCGGCAGGCUUAACACAUGCAAGUCGAGCGAGCGGCGGACGGGUGAGUAAUGUCUGGGAAACUGCCUGAUGGAGGGGGAUAACUACUGGAAACGGUAGCUAAUACCGCAUACCAUCAGAUGUGCCCAGAUGGGAUUAGCUAGUCGGUGGGGUAAUGGCUCACCUAGGCGACGAUCCCUAGCUGGUCUGAGAGGAUGACCAGCCACACUAGAGCUGAGACACGGUCCAGACUCCUACGAGAGGCAGCAGUGGGGAAUAUUACACAAUGAGCGCAAGCCUGAUGCAGCAAUGCCGCGUGUGUAAAGAAGGCCUUCGGAUUGUAAAGCACUUUCAGCGAGGAGGCGUUACUCGCAGAAAAAGCACCGGCUAACUCGGUGCCAGCAGCCGCGGUAAUAC